CAAUUUCAUACUUUUAAAUGAAUAAAAUUCUAACUUCAGCUGCACAAAUAAACAUUAGAACAUCCAAAAUAAUUUAUGCAACUAAGAGUCAUAUUUUAAGCAUCUUUAAUUCUCAAACCCAAUAAAUUCAAUCCUCACAAGUUCACUUUAAAUCAAUCAUUUAAGCACAAGAAUCUCAUAAAAAAAUUGAAUUCUAAAACAUAAAUGUGGUCAUAAGUAUGCAUUCAUUAGUCU
rnacentral:lncRNA from 1 species